rnacentral:rRNA from 1 species
GAUGAACGCUAGCGGCAGGCCUAACACAUGCAAGUCGAACGCUGUAGCAAUACAGAGUGGCAGACGGGUGAGUAACGCGUGGGAACCUUCCCAGUGGUACGGAAUAGCUCAGGGAAACUUGAGGUAAUACCGUAUAAGCCCCUAGGGGGAAAGAUUUAUCGCCAUUGGAUGGGCCCGCGUCGGAUUAGCUAGUUGGUGAGGUAAUGGCUCACCAAGGCGACGAUCCGUAGCUGGUUUGAGAGAAUGACCAGCCACACUGGGACUGAGACACGGCCCCGACUCCUACGGGAGGCAGCAGUGGGGAAUAUUGGACAAUGGGCGCAAGCCUGAUCCAGCCAUGCCGCGUGAGUGACGAAGGCCUUAGGGUUGUAAAGCUCUUUUAGCAGGGACGAUAAUGACGGUACCUGCAGAAUAAGCUCCGGCUAACUUCGUGCCAGCCGCCGCAGUAA